GAUGAACGCUGGCGGCGUGCCUAAUACAUGCAAGUCGAGCGAACAGACGAGGAGCUUGCUCCUCUGACGUUAGCGGCGGACGGGUGAGUAACACGUGGAUAACCUACCUAUAAGACUGGGAUAACUUCGGGAAACCGGAGCUAAUACCGGAUAACAUGUUGAACCGCAUGGUUCAACAGUGAAAGACGGUCUUGCUGUCACUUCUCGAUGGAUCCGCGCCGCAUUAGAUAGUUGGUAAGGUAACGGCUUACCAAGGCAACGAUGCGUAGCCGACCUGAGAGGGUGAUCGGCCACACUGGAACUGAGACACGGUCCAGACUCCUACGGGAGGCAGCAGUAGGGAAUCUUCCGCAACGGGCGAAAGCCUGACGGAGCAACGCCGCGUGAGUGAAGAAGGUCUUCGGAUCGUAAAACUCUGUUAUUAGGGAAGAACAAAUGUGUAAGUAACUAUGCACGUCUUGACGGUACCUAAUCAGAAAGCCACGGCUAACUACGUG
rnacentral:rRNA from 1 species